UAGGGAAUAUUGGACAAUGGGCGAAAGCCUGAUCCAGCAACGCCGCGUGUGCGAUGACGGCCUUCGGGUUGUAAAGCACUUUUAGAGGAGAUGAGAAAGGACAGUAUCCUCUGAAUAAGCCUCGGCGAACUACGUGCCAGCAGCCGCGGUAAAACGUAGGAGGCUAGCGUUAUCCGGAUUUAGUGGGCGUAAAGCGCGUGCAGGCGGUCUAUCAAGUUGGAUGUGAAAGCUCCUGGCUUAACGGGGAGAGGGCGUUCAAAACUGAGA
rnacentral:rRNA from 1 species